GCCCCGGUAGCUCAGAGGUAGAGCUCCUGCAUUUAGUGAGCGAAAGCGCCUAGCAACAACUAGCAGGUGGUUGCAGGUCCUGCCCGUGGCU